ACGAACGCUGGCGGCGCGCCUAACACAUGCAAGUCGAGCGAGAACCAGGGCUUCGGCCCUGGGGACAGCGGCGAACGGGUGAGUAACACGUGGGUAACCUGCCCUCGGCACCGGGAUAGCCCGGGGAAACUCGGAUUAAUACCGGACAGCCUCAUGAGCCCUCGGGCGAAUGAGAAAAGGUGGCUUCGGCUUCCGGCUGAGGAUGGGCCCGCGGCCGAUUAGCUUGUUGGUGGGGUAACGGCUCACCAAGGCUCCGAUCGGUAGCUGGUCUGAGAGGACGAUCAGCCACACUGGGACUGAGACACGGCCCAGACUCCUACGGGAGGCAGCAGUGGGGAAUCUUGCGCAAUGGGCGAAAGCCUGACGCAGCGACGCCGCGUGAGGGAUGACGGCCUCGGUGUAA
rnacentral:rRNA from 1 species